GUCCCUGUAGCGCAAUGGAAAGCGCGUUGGACUUCUAAUCCAAAGGUGGCGGCUUCCAAUCCCAUCUGGGAUG